AUGAACCUUGUGAGCUUGAACAACAAGAAGCACCUAGGCGCAAGAGGAAACAAAACAUCAGGGAUAAUGCUCGAUAGGUUAACUAAAUCUAGAGAAGGAAGAAUGGAGAUCCGUUUUGAGGCAGGUUUAAAAAGGCCACGUGAUGCUACAGAGUCAGCCAAGUUAGUAUUAGAGGCAGCGCUUGCUGUUAGGUGUCAUGUAUGUAUCCUCCCAACAUGGAUUCAGUACAAGAAUGACAAAGACGAAACCCAGUUCAACAUCUUCCUCGACCAUUUAUCUAUGAGGUUCAAGUUGGAUAGCCAAGAUGAUGCAACCAUACAAGCUUGCACCCAUGUUUUCAAGUCUGCUCUGCGACAGUAUCGUUAUAACUUGAGGAAAACUCACUUUGAAGGCAAGGCUAACAGUGAACUUUCCCAAACAUCUCGAGUGGAAAAUAUAUCUGAUGAAGACUGGAGAGGCCUCGUUAAACACUGGUCCGAUCUGAAGUAUCAGGUACAUUAUAUAUAUGUCAUCAGAUCACAUGUUGAAGUCCUAUUUACGCAUGUGCCACACAAAUCUAUCUUCUUGUAG
rnacentral:rRNA from 1 species